GAUGAACGCUGGCGGCGUGCUUAACACAUGCAAGUCGAACGGAGUCCAGCCUUAGAGACGUUCUGGUCGAUGGGGGGAAGACUGAGUGGCAGACGGGUGAGUAACACGUGGCCUACCUGGCUCAUAGAGGGGGAGAACAGAGAGCAAUUUCUGCUAAUACCGCAUAUGCACACUCUGCCGCAUGGCAGAGUGUGAAAGGAGAAGCGCGAUGAGAUGGACCCGCGUCUGAUUAGCCAGUUGGCAGGGGAAGAGCAUGCCUACGCGGCGAUAAGUAGCCGACAUGGGAAGAUGAACGCGGACAAUGGGACUACGGCACGGACCAGAGUGCUACGGGAGGCAGCGGUGGGGGGUAUUACACAAUGGAGGGGAGUGUAAUGCAGCGGCGCCGCGUGAGUUAAGAUGUAUUUCGGUAUGGAAAGCUCUAUCAGCAGGGAAGAUAUUGACGGUACCGGAUGAAGAAGCCCCGGCUAACUACGUG
rnacentral:rRNA from 1 species